GGCUGCUCGAUUUAAAGAUCAGUCUGGCCUGCCCACUGAUUUAUUUAAAGGGCCGCGGUAUUCUGACCGUGCGAAGGUAGCAAAAUAAUUAGUCUUUUAAUUGAAGACCAGAAUGAAAGGUCGGACAAAAAGCAACCUCUCUCAACUUAACUUAUUUAAAUUAACUUUUAAGUGAAAAGGCUUAAAUACUCUUAUAGGACGAUAAGACCCUAUAAAACUUUAUAUUCUUGAAAUAUCUUUCGAUAUAUAUGUGAAAAGCCGGAUAUUAAAAAGUUUAUUUCGUUGGGGCAACGUAAGUAUAAUUUUUAACUGCUUAAACUUUACCCACUAAUAUGUGUUCAUAUUUGAUCCUUAAUAAAGAUUCAAAGAAAAAGUUACUUUAGGGAUAACAGCGUUAUUUUUUUUACGAGUUCAUAUCGACAAAAAAGUUUGCGACCUCGAUGUUGAAUUAAAAUUCUCCUUAUAGUGCAGCAGCUAUAAAGGUAGGUCUGUUCGACCUUUAAAAUUUUACAUGAUUUGAGUUCAAACCGGUGUAAG
rnacentral:rRNA from 1 species